AGAGUUUGAUCCUGGCUCAGGGGUUUCUUGCGGUAUGCCUAACACAUGCAAGUCGAACGAGAGACGGCUUAGUGGCGGACGGGUGAGUAACGCGUGAGAACCUGCCUCCAGGCUGGGGACAACAGUUGGAAAUGAUCGUCUAAUACCCAAUGUGCCGAGAGGUGAAAGAUUUAUCACCUGGAGAGGGGCUCGCGUCCGAUUAGCUAGUUGGUGGGGUAAGAGCCUACCAAGGCGUCGAUCGGUAGCUGGUCUGAGAGGAUGAGCAGCCACACUGGGACUGAGACACGGCCCAGACCCCUACGGGAGGCAGCAGUGGGGAAUUUUCCGCAAUGGGCGAAAGCCUGACGGAGCAAUACCGCGUGAGGGAGGAAGGCUUUUGGGUUGUAAACCUCUUUUCUUAAGGAGGAAGAUCUGACGGUACUUAAGGAAUCAGCAUCGGCUAACUCCGUGCCAGCAGCCGCGGUAAUACGGAAGGAUGCAAGCGUUAUCCGGAAUUAUUGGGCGUAAAGCGUCCGCAGGUGGCCUUUCAAGUCUGCUGUCAAAGACCAGAGCUCAACUCCUGGGGCGGGGGGGGGAAACUGGGAGGCUAGAGUACGGGUAGGGGGUAGAGGGAAUUUCCCAGUGUAGCGGUGAAAUGCGUAGAGAUUGGGAAGAAACACCAGUGGCGAAGGCGCCYCUACUGGACCGAAACUGACACUCCAGGGACGAAAGCUAGGGGAGCCGAAAGGGAAUUAGAUACCCCCUGUAGUCCUAGCUGUAAACGAUAGRAUACUAGGCGUUGCUUGUAUCCGACCCGAGCRRUGCCGAAGCCAACGCGUUUAAGUAUCCCCGCYUGGGGGAGUACGCACGCAAGUGUGAAACUCAAAGGAAUUGACGGGGGCCCGCACAAGCGGUGGAGUAUGUGGUUUAAUUCGAUGCAACGCGAAGAACCUUACCAGGACUUGACAUGUCGCGAAUCCUCUUGAAAGAGAGGAGUGCCUUAGGGAGCGCGAACACAGGUGGUGCAUGGCUGUCGUCAGCUCGUGUCGUGAGAUGUUGGGUUAAGUCCCGCAACGAGCGCAACCCUCGUCCUUAGUUGCCAGCAUUAAGGUGGGCACUUUAGGGAGACUGCCGGUGACAAACCGGAGGAAGGUGGGGAUGACGUCAAGUCAGCAUGCCCCUUACGUUCUGGGCUACACACGUACUACAAUGGUUGGGACAAAGGGCAGCGAGCGAGCGAUCGUAAGCGAAUCUCAGCAAACCCAGCCUCAGUUCAGAUUGCAGGCUGCAACUCGCCUGCAUGAAGGAGGAAUCGCUAGUAAUCGCAGGUCAGCAUACUGCGGUGAAUCCGUUCCCGGGCCUUGUACACACCGCCCGUCACACCAUGGAAGCUGGCCACGCCCGAAGUCGUUACCCUAACCCGUAUGGGAGGGGGAUGCCGAAGGCAGGGCUAGUGACUGGGGUGAAGUCGUAACAAGGUAGCCGUACCGGAAGGUGUGGCUGGAUCACCUCCU
rnacentral:rRNA from 1 species